AUUGAACGCUGGCGGCAGGCCUAACACAUGCAAGUCGAACGAGUGGCGGACGGGUGAGUAAUGUCUGGGAAACUGCCUGAUGGAGGGGGAUAACUACUGGAAACGGUAGCUAAUACCGCAUACCAUCAGAUGUGCCCAGAUGGGAUUAGCUAGUUGGUGGGGUAACGGCUCACCAAGGCGACGAUCCCUAGCUGGGCUGAGAGGAUGAGCAGCCACACUGGAACUGAGACACGGCCCAGACUCCUACGGGUGGCAGCAGGGGGGAAUGUUGCACAAUUGGCUCAAGCCUGAUGCAGCCAUGCCGCGUGUAUGAAGAAGGCCUUCGGGUUGUAAAGUACUUUCAGCGGGGAUGCGUUACCCGCAGAAGAAGCACCGGCUAACUCCGUGCCAGCAGCCGCGGUAAUAC
rnacentral:rRNA from 1 species